rnacentral:snRNA from 1 species
GUGCUCACUUUGAUAAUAUAUAUGCUAAAAUUAGAACACUAUAGAGAAGAUUAGCAUGGUCCCUGCAUAAGAUGAUAUGCAACUUAAUAAAGUGCUCCACAUUUAA